UACGAAGGGGGCUAGCGUUGCUCGGAAUUACUGGGCGUAAAGCGCACGUAGGCGGCUUUCUAAGUCAGGGGUGAAAUCCUGGAGCUCAACUCCAGAACUGCCUUUGAUACUGGAGAGCUUGAGUCCGGAAGAGGUGAGUGGAACUCCGAGUGUAGAGGUGAAAUUCGUAGAUAUUCGGAAGAACACCAGUGGCGAAGGCGGCUCACUGGUCCGGUACUGACGCUGAGGUGCGAAAGCGUGGGGAGCAAACAGG
rnacentral:rRNA from 1 species